UUGAUUACAAUUUGCGUACCAGAUUAAAAAAGACCAACUGGGGCUAUAUUUACUUCAGUUAGAUUCAUUAAGGCUCCAUUGCAGCAAGACCCUUUUUUGCUACCGUAAGAAAGUAAGGUGAACUCUGUUUCUUACUACAGAUAAAGAUGUGGUGCUUGUUGCCAUUUGCAUAACUAUGUUACAAAAAAUCUAGAACUGACCCAAAGUGACUGUUUUUAUCUGAAACCCAGCCGUUGACUCAACUUAGAAAGUAAAUGUGAUGUUUGAUAUAUACGUUCAUUUGUUGGUUAACAGGUGCUUUAGCUAACUGUUGUCACUGUAGAUUAUACAUUAUAAAUACAAGUGUAGUGUUUGAUUAAAUUAUAUACUAGCUGCACAUCUGCUCCAAUGUUCUUUUUCCCCUCUAUUUCUCCUUUCCCCUUAAACUAGCUCCCUUAUCUGUCUUUUUGUUAUAAGGUGGUGACAUGUUCAAAGGUGGAUUCAAAAAUUUGAGUAUAUGGGUUCUAUAUUCUAGAAAAGAGAACUUACUAGGUCUUGGAUGAAUUAUUUAUACAUAUUGAAUGGUUUUCUCAACACAAAUAUAGAGUUCUUGGUCAAAGCUAUUGAUAUUUGCUGAACCCAUAGCCUUUAGCUCAAGCUUCACCCCUUAAUAUGUGAUUCUACUAAUAUAACUACUUAGAGUAGGAAAAAAAGGAUUAAGGUAUGGUCAUAGGAAUAACAAUCCAAUUCUCUAUAUUAAUAUUUGUCUCUAGUUUCCCAAUCUUCCUUUCUUUCAUUUGUACUGCACAUAUAAUUAGGUCUCUUUGGAGAAAAGUAAAGAGAAUUGUCACUAACUCUAGUUCUUAACUUACUGAUAAAAUUGAACAACAAGAACAAAGAAGGUUAUUCGAGUUUCGAUAGUGAUCAGGGAUACUAAAGUAUGUUUGGUCAGUGUUGAGGUUAGAUUGAUCGGUUCUCCAAAAAAUGAUUUUUAUCAGAUCGAUCAGGUUCAUGUGACAAUGCUCCUAGUCACUAUUUUCUUAGCUGUAAUCUUUGACUGUAGCGACUAUUGAGUGUCAAUUUUUAAAAUACAAGACAAAUUGUGAAUUGGAUUGUUAUUCAUAAGUGUUAUUAGACCCAACAUUCAACACAUAUGGAAAAGUAUGGCAUGAAAAUUUGAAUUGAACUAGGAAUGACUGUUAAAAAGUUGAAUAUUACUUCUUCUGUAACUCUUUUUUUCUCCCCUUCCAUUAAUGAUGUCAUUGAUUUUCAACAAGGAACUUCUUUUGUUAUUAUAAUAAACUGGUUGUUCUUUCUUUUUCAGAUGUCUAGUAAAGAAAAUCAAUUGCAUCAAAAGGUAAUGUUAAUGGACGACGUAAGAAAAGUAAGAAUGGAAUUGAUAAUCUUACUGCAGGUCAAUAUACCGUACCACCACCACAACCACCACCACCUGUUACCACAACUCUUCAACCAACUACUCCAAAUAUUCUUCCCCCUCCUAAAUACACUAUUUCACUACCAAAGGCCUUUUUCAUGCCUCAACCGUCUGACCAGUUCCACACCUCUUCAUUCCAAAAUAGUCUACAUAGUAGCUCUUCAUCUGUGCCGUCGACAUCAUCUGCACCAAGCCUUUCUGGAUUGAGAGUUAGAGGUCCUAACACACCAACAUCGCCAUCCAUGGACAGUGCCACAACACCUAGUGCUGCAUCAGCUGCUUCUCAGAAUUUGUAAUUUAAAGAUGUAUUAGAAUGUGACGAUGUUGGGAGGCUACAAAUCGUCCCUUAUCAUGAUGGGUAAGUAACACUUAAGUUUUCCUUAAUUUUUAAAAGCUAAGAUGAUGGUUUAACAUAAUUUUAUUGCAGGUUCAUUCCACAAUAUGCUCGCGCGCAUAUGGUUAUAGAAGCAAUUAAACCAUUUUUCAAUGAGCCGUG
rnacentral:lncRNA from 1 species